rnacentral:rRNA from 1 species
GACGUAGGGGGCCAGCGUUGUUCGGAAUUACUGGGUGUAAAGGGUUCGUAGGCGGUGUGGCAAGUCGGGAGUGAAAUCUCUGGGCUCAACCCAGAGUCUGCUUCCGAAACUGCUGUGCUUGAGUGUGGGAGAGGCGCGUGGAAUUGCAGGUGUAGCGGUGAAAUGCGUAGAUAUCUGCAGGAACACCCGUGGCGAAGGCGGUUCUCUGGGCCUUACCUGACGUUGAGGAGCGAAAGCGUGGGGAGCGAACAGG